rnacentral:rRNA from 1 species
AGCCUUAGGAAUAGAUUUAAGGUUUUACCUGCCCAAUGUAAAAAUGAAUGGCCGCGGUACUUUGACCGUGCUAAGGUAGCGCAAUCAAUUGGCUCUUAAUUGGAGUCAGGAAUGAAUGGAGUCUACGGGGUUCAACUGUCUCUAAAUUAAUUAGUUGAAAUUACUAUGUAGGUGAAAAAGCCUGCGAGGAGAAAAAAGACGAGAAGACCCUUAGAGUUUUACUUAAUGUAAUAUUGAAUUUAAUUAUAUUUAUACUGGUUUUGUUGGGGCAACAAAGGAGCAUUUUAAGGUAAUCUCCUAAAUUUAAAUAAACCGACAGUUUUAAAUUUGAAUAAGCUACCUUAGGGAUAACAGCAUAAUUUUAUAAAUAAGUUUGUGACCUCGAUGUUGGACUAGGAAACCUAAAGGCUAGUCGUCUUUAGGGAAGGUUCUGUUCGAACUAUUAUUCCU